rnacentral:lncRNA from 1 species
CGACAAUCCAACCAAGGACUAAAAUUACUUCUGAACACCCUAAGAGUUGAUACUACUCAUUCCGUGAGUCCUAACUCACACACACCAACUACAGGGAGAGCUAAAAUAGGAAAGAUGAGAAAAUUUCACAAAACGAUCGGGAGGGUUGUUACAAUCAAACAAAAAAGAAAUGAGAAAGUUAUAACAAUAUAAUAAAUUAUCAAAUUCGCAAAAAAAAAAAAUGAAGGUAGAAUAUCUAGAAUCUGACCUUCGAUUAAUGGAGUUUCAAAAAUAACUACAUCUUUGCCCAUAAGCACUACAUCGACAAAGUUUUUCACACAAGGAUAUGAGGAUUCACAAACGGCAUUGAUUAUUGCUACAUGCAAGAUCACCGACUACAAACUCUUAAUGUCUGUUUUGACAUUAAAAUUUACCAAAUGUGGAUGCAAAUUUGUUACUCUAUUUUCUGAUCCUUACUAUCAUCUUCGACCAUAAAAUUUACUUAGCGUAGAUAUGAAUCUGAUCUUCAAACUCUGCACAUCUUCAAAACCUUAAGAAAAUGAAAUUAUAAAAAUAACAAUGUAACUCAUUCAACAAAUUGAAGAAAUCAAUCUCGUCAUGAAAUUGCAAAUAGAUGAAUCUCUGAGAUUUGAUGUUGAUUUAUUGUUUCGAUGAUUUAAAUAGAUUAUUGAUGCAUGCUUAUUGUUUGAAUUGUUCUCAUCGACCCUAUACUCAUGAGAAAGUUCAUCAUAUAAUUUUCUCCACAGAAUUUCACGCCUUGAGUUUUUGUUUUGUUGGUUUAGCCAUGACAAAACCCUUACGGUUUCCAUCAUUUCUCUCUCUCAUUUACAUUAAUUGUCAAGUUGCGAGCGAAGAAUCAUAUUCAUGAAACUCUUGUAAUUUU